AUCGGACACCUCGGUCUCCUUGGACGCACCCUCGCUCAUCCAUGCGGACUGGACACUGGCCGAGAGUUGGUGGACGGCCGAGGGUGGAGUCGGCUCUCUUGGUUGCUUUGUUGGGUCUGCUCCUAUCUCUGGCCCAGUCGAUGAUGGGGUGGAACACCGCUGAGGCCACCACAGUGUAUAUGUUUUUGUUGUUGUUGUUGUUGUUUUACUUUUGUGGCUGUGUGUAGAAAUGGCUGGUUGCAUCAGCGCUGCUCUUUUAAUGUCUUUAAUGUCCUUUGUGUUCUUUGACGUUUCCCUCUUACACACGUUUGUGUGCUAUGGCUAUGAGAUUUUUUUCCCCUUGGCCUUUGUCUGGACCCCCUCUCCAGGGGUCCAGGCUUAGACUUUACCUGUUUCUCACCCUUUUUGUAAGGGGCGCCGGAAGUUUGCAGACCCGUCAGCGAUCCUGUUCUGUCUCCCUGUAAAUGUUUGUCUGAUCUUGAAUGGGAUUGUGCUGAAAAUCUUAAUUUCCCCUCAGGGAUUAAUAAAGUAUUUCUAAUUCUAACUCUAAUAGGAAGAUGACGAAAAAGCCAAGGGUGACAAAACUAACUAGCAUGUUUUUCAUAAAGCAAUGAAGCAACCCACAAAGCUGAUGGAGUGGCCAACAAAGCUUCUAAUAUGGAGAUGAAGCAACUCCUUCAAUGACUUUCCUAACAUCUUCUUUUCUGGCAUAAAUAACAGAUCAAUAACCACAUUCAUGUUACCAACCUCAGCGUUUUAAAGACGUGGCGGAGUCACGUUUUAUGAGCUUGUGAUUAGUGUUUUUAUUGGCGGUCUGCAGAUGGUUAGUGUAAACUUGUCUCACUGAGGCUCUCUUGUAGGCAACACUGACUCAGAGAGCACUCUGUCACCCCUCAGGGACUGAAGACAGACGCACAGCGCCCUCUUCUGGCUCACCCCUGUUCCUACACCCCCACCAAAGCACAACAUGAGGCCUGGAAACACACAUUCUGUGCUUUGACUCGACUUCGCGGGAGAACGCUGAGGUGAGCCGCAAGUCUCCGACGUUUCCUCUCCGUCCCACAGCGGAGGAUGGCGGCUUCUGGCAAGGCUGGUGCGUGUCGUGCCAUGAGCCGGCCUGUGGAAGGAGUUGCAUGAAUUCCAGGAGGGUGCAUGUCUCGCAGAACAUGUCCCGCAACGAACGUCUAUCCACAGCGUGAAGGCGCUUCUGAGAGACUAAUCCUCACGACCAUGGCGGAAAAUAAGUAACGUUUCUU